AGAGCAUUCAAAUUACAAGACCUUCAGUCUGCUGUUUUAAUCUGACCCAGAAGGAAAACUUCACUACAGUUCGUUUCCUUGAUUCCGUGCAAUUUUAUUUUGGAACUGAAGCUCAAUCGAAUUUAAACAACUUUUUUGAAAGUCUGUAAUGAAAGUUGCAUUUUUGCUUACACGUAGCCGCUUUGACCCACGGUGAAUGGAAGUCAUAAAGCAGGGUAUAAAGGGAGUUUCUAAAUUGCCUGUUGUUGAGUCCAUUGAAGGCAACAGGAGAGUCUUCUUACUGAAUUUUGUGUUGCGUUUUUCUGUAUAUAUAUUUCUUUUGACUCAGAAAUACAAAUUAUAAUGAAGGUGAGGCACUUCACAAUACGUUUGGCUUCAGCAUUGCUGAAUAUACAUUUGUAUAUGUAUAUAUUAUAUAUAUAUUGUACAGCAAAACAUUUCAGAAUCUGCAGAACGUUGCUAAUAACUGCAGUGGAACAGGGAGGAAUAGUGAAAACAGAUUUCUGCUUUGAAUGCUUUCAAAUUUAAUAAUUAAUGCAUUUUAUUUUUACUUGUAUAGGAUUAUCAUGAACUCUAGAUAGGUAGUUACAUUUGAAAAUGCUAAGUGAGAUAGCAAAACUGGAUCAUAAACACAGGAAACAGAUUCUGCAUUCAUUUUCUUGCAUUUCUGUCCUGCUGGCAUGCUCUUUGUACUUUCUACCAUUUCAGAAUCACAGGAGCUAAAUAGUCUGAAAAAGAAGAGUCCAAAUCCUUGCCUUUGGAAGGCCCAGCUCGUUACCCAACUCCUGAGCAAAGAAAAAGAAGAAUAAAGGCUUCAGUCACCACACAUACUCACACUGGGAGACUUCAGCCUCAGCGUGACUGUCAGCCCUGUGGACACGCUGGCUGUCACUGUGCCCACCGUCUGCCACAACAUCACCUGCAGCCUCUGUGGAACUUCAGUGGCCGUCUCCACACCGACCGCCUCAUCCAGAGCAGCACUGCCACGGGUCACCGCCUCAGUCC
rnacentral:lncRNA from 1 species